UACGUAGGGUGCGAGCGUUGUCCGGAAUUAUUGGGCGUAAAGAGCUUGUAGGCGGUUUGUCGCGUCUGCUGUGAAAAUCCGGGGCUCAACCCCGGACUUGCAGUGGGUACGGGCAGACUAGAGUGUGGUAGGGGAGACUGGAAUUCUCGGUGUAGCGGUGAAAUGCGUAGAUAUCGGGAGGAACACCUGCGGCGAAGGCGGGUAGCUGGGCCGACACUGACGCUGAGGCGCGAAAGCCAGGGGAGCGAACGGG
rnacentral:rRNA from 1 species